rnacentral:rRNA from 1 species
AACGAACGCUGGCGGCAGGCUUAACACAUGCAAGUCGAGCGCAUCCUUCGGGGUGAGCGGCGGACGGGUGAGUAACGCGUGGGAACGUGCCCUCUUCUACGGAAUAGCCUCGGGAAACUGAGAGUAAUGCCGUAUACGCCCGCAAGGGGAAAGAUUUAUCGGAGGAGGAUCGGCCCGCGUUGGAUUAGGUAGUUGGUGGGGUAACGGCCUACCAAGCCGACGAUCCAUAGCUGGUUUGAGAGGAUGAUCAGCCACACUGGGACUGAGACACGGCCCAGACUCCUACGGGAGGCAGCAGUGGGGAAUCUUGGACAAUGGGGGCAACCCUGAUCCAGCCAUGCCGCGUGAUCGAUGAAGGCCUUAGGGUUGUAAGGAUCUUUCAGCUGGGAAGAUAAUGACGGUACCAGCAGAAGAAGCCCCGGCUAACUCCGUG